UACGGGGGGAGCAAGCGUUGUUCGGAUUUACUGGGCGUAAAGGGCGCGUAGGCGGCCAGCACAAGUCAGUUGUGAAAUCUCCGGGCUUAACUCGGAGCGGUCAAGUGAUACUGUUGUGCUAGAGUGCGGAAGGGGCUACUGGAAUUCUCGGUGUAGCGGUGAAAUGCGUAGAUAUCGAGAGGAACACCUGCGGCGAAGGCGGGUAGCUGGGCCGACACUGACGCUGAAGCGCGAAAGCUAGGGAGCGAACGGG
rnacentral:rRNA from 1 species